AGGACGAACGCUGGCGGCGUGCUUAACACAUGCAAGUCGAGCGGAAAGGCCCUUCGGGGUACUCGAGCGGCGAACGGGUGAGUAACACGUGAGCAACCUGCCCCUGGCUCUGGGAUAGCCUCCGGAAACGGGGAUUAAUACCGGACAUUCUCCGCCUUCCGCAUGGUUGGCGGUGGAAAGUUUUUUCGGCCGGGGAGGGGCUCGCGGCCUAUCAGCUUGUUGGCGGGUAACGGCCCACCAAGGCGACGACGGGUAGCC
rnacentral:rRNA from 1 species